GACGAACGCUGGCGGCGUGCUUAACACAUGCCAGUCGAACGGAAAGGCCUCUUUCGGGGGGUACUCGAGUGGCGAACGGGUGAGUAACACGUGAGUAACCUGCCCUUGACUUUGGGAUAACUUCAGGAAACUGGGGCUAAUACCGGAUAGGAGCUCCUGCUGCAUGGUGGGGGUUGGAGAGUUUCGGGGGUUGGGGAUGGACUCGCGGCUUAUCAGCUUGUUGGUGGGGUAGUGGCUUACCAAGGCUUUGACGGGUAGCCGGCCUGGGAGGGUGACCGGCCACAUUGGGGCUGAGGUACGGCCCAGACUCCUACGGGGGGCAGCAGGGGGGAAUAUUGCACAAUGGGUGGGAGCCUGAUGCAGCAACGCCGUGGGCGGGAUGGCGGGCUUCGGGUUGGAAACCGCCUUCGCUCAUGACGAAGCUUUGUGUGACGGUAGUGGGUAAAGAAGCACCGGCUAACUACGUG
rnacentral:rRNA from 1 species